rnacentral:rRNA from 1 species
AACGAACGCUGGCGGCAUGCCUAACACAUGCAAGUCGAACGAGUCCUUCGGGUCUAGUGGCGCACGGGUGCGUAACGCGUGGGAACCUGCCCUUAGGUUCGGAAUAACUCCCCGAAAGGGGUGCUAAUACCGGAUAAUGUCUUCGGACCAAAGAUUUAUCGCCUUUGGAUGGGCCCGCGUUGGAUUAGCUAGUUGGUAGGGUAAAAGCCUACCAAGGCGACGAUCCAUAGCUGGUCUGAGAGGAUGAUCAGCCACACUGGGACUGAGACACGGCCCAGACUCCUACGGGAGGCAGCAGUGGGGAAUAUUGGACAAUGGGCGAAAGCCUGAUCCAGCAAUGCCGCGUGAGUGAUGAAGGCCUUAGGGUUGUAAAGCUCUUUUACCCGGGAUGAUAAUGACAGUACCGGGAGAAUAAGCUCCGGCUAACUCCGU